rnacentral:lncRNA from 1 species
CUCAUAUUUUCUUUUUAAACUCCCUCUCAUUUUAAUACAUAUUUUGUAUUUUCUUUCAAUAAAUGCUGUCAUGCAGCUCCUCUACUUCCUUUAUUGAGAAAACACUCAUGGUGGAAAAAAAAUGAGAGGGAGGGAGAAACAGAGAAAGGAAACAGAAAUCAUAACCAAAAAGUUUGCACCAAUUAUUGAAAUAGUCAGUGUUCCCUCGGGCUGAGAGAAAGGGAAAGGCGCUUUUACAGUGUCUUGGAAUUUUUUUCUUCUGCACAAUUCUGACUUUUCAGCAAAUAUUCAUGCUACAGCGAGAGAGAAGGAAAGAAAACAAAAACGAUUCAGGGGUUUUACCAUGAACAUUGCAGUGGGCAUACCAUGGAGCCAGACCACCAGCAGAGCAUUAAACAGGGACAGAUGUGAAUGCCAGGAUGAAAAUUAAGACAUUCCUGGUGUAUCCUUCCUGCUCGUAGCAUUCUCACAGCUGGGUGAGAAGAGAUCUGGGAACACUCUGGCUGUGCACUGGUUGUAUCAUCUCUGGUGCUCUGGAAAUCCACAGCUGUGAUCUUCCAGCAGAUUCUGUCUGUGACACACUGGCUCAAGGGAUGUCCAAGUCAUACAGAUUGGUGCAGCCUUCUCCAGAAGAAACUGAGUAUCCCACCUAUGGAUGCCUUACAGAUCAUAUCAAGGACAGUCUACUGGAAGUGAACAUCGUUUUAGGCAAGAGAGGUAGUAAUCUAGAUCUCAUGUGCUUCAAGGAAAUGCUUAAAUUUCCUUUUAGGAAGGAAAUGUGUGCUUG